UUCCAUUUUUAACAGAUACAA
rnacentral:miRNA from 1 species